rnacentral:rRNA from 1 species
UACGUAGGGUGCAAGCGUUAAUCGGAAUUACUGGGCGUAAAGCGUGCGCAGGCGGUUUUGUAAGUCUGUCGUGAAAUCCCCGGGCUCAACCUGGGAAUUGCGAUGGAGACUGCAAGGCUAGAAUCUGGCAGAGGGGGGGUAGAAUUCCACGUGUAGCAGUGAAAUGCGUAGAGAUGUGGAGGAACACCCGAUGGCGAAGGCAGCCCCCUGGGUCAAGAUUGAC